AGGUGGUGGGGAUAGGCAGAAGGCAGGUAGAAGGCAGGUAGAAGGCAGGUAGAAGGUGGAGGGGAUAGGCAGGUAGAAGGCAGGUAGAAGGCUUAAGUUGUGAUAUCACUUUCCUGAGCAUGUCUGUGUCAACCAGGGAAAAUAACUCCAUAGUGCCUUUGCGUGGUAGGCUAGGGAACAGAUCAAACUUCUCAGUGGGUCUUGCUUGACUGAUACCCAGCCUAAUUAAGCAAGGUUUGAGUAGGUGUGGUAUAAGAACAGCCCUUAGCCGUGGUAUAUUGGCCAUAUAUCACAAACCCCCUGAGCUUCCUUAUUACUAUUAUAAACUGGUUGCCAAUGUAAUUAGAGCAGUGAAAAUACAUGUUUUGUCAUACCUGUGGUAUACAUUCUGAUAUACCAUGGCUGUCAGCCAAUCAGCAAUCAGUGCUCGACCCACCCAGUUUAUAAUGUGUGUUAUCUUAUCUCUGAAAUAUGCCGCAAACUCAUCACAAUUAGAUGUAGAGGAAAGUUUACAUAGGUUUGCGAGGUUAGGAUUUAGGAUUUAGCAGGCCGUCAAUGGUCAAGAAGAGCACUCUUGAUUUAUUCUGGCUUUUCUAAUUGCCUUGUUAUAUAUGCCAAGUUGCUCUCUCAGAAUAUCAUAAUGGACCUGAAACUUUAGUUUCCUCACUAAUCCAUGGGGUUCUCGGUAUGGAUGUGGCCUUUUUCAUCUUUACUGGAGCUAUGGCAUCAAUGGUUGCCCUUAAUUUACUAUUAAAGUUAUCA